GUGAUGCAAAACGGGGAAAUUGUUUCACAGGUUCUGGCCGGCCUCGACCUCGACUACAACCCGGUCGUGUCGACCCUUGCUGCACGGGUGGAGCCUGUCACCGUCCAAGAGCUGUACACACAGCUGUUAAGUUUUGAUG
rfam:Triticum aestivum genome assembly, contig: Triticum_aestivum_CS42_TGACv1_scaffold_405905_5BL